GAAAAGAACUUUGAAAAGAGAGUUAAACAGUACGUGAAAUUGUUGAAAGGGAAACGAUUGAAGCCAGUCGUACCGACGGGAAAUCAACCCUUCGAGUGGGGGAUCGUGAGUGCGAGGAGCUUCGGCCCUCGUUGCGCGCGACACCUUUGCUUCUUGGGCGUACUUUUCCGUAUGUAGGUCAGCAUCGAUUUCGAUCGCCAUAAAAUGGCCGGAGGAAUGUAGCUUCGACCUCGUGUUGGAGUGUUAUAGCCUUUGGUCAAUGUGAUGAUCAAGAUCGAGGAUUGCAACGAAUACCCUUUUGGGCUAUUCGCCUGAUCUCUGAAAGUCGCUCGGGUGUUGAAAGCGUGCUUAUGACAUUCUAGUUGGCGGUCAAAAGGUUAGAACGUGAUUACAUUCGUUA
rnacentral:rRNA from 1 species